GUGGGGAAUAUUGGACAAUGGGCGCAAGCCUGAUCCAGCCAUGCCGCGUGAGUGAUGAAGGCCCUAGGGUUGUAAAGCUCUUUCACCGGUGAAGAUAAUGACGGUAACCGGAGAAGAAGCCCCGGCUAACUUCGUGCCAGCAGCCGCGGUAAUCCGAAGGGGGCUAGCGUUGUUCGGAAUUACUGGGCGGAAAGCGCACGUAGGCGGGUAUUUAAGUCAGGGGUGAAAUCCCGGAGCUCAACUCCGGAACUGCCUUUGAUACUGGGUACCUAGAGUAUGGAAGAGGUAAGUGGAAUUCCGAGUGUAGAGGUGAAAUUCGUAGAUAUUCGGAGGAACACCAGUGGCGAAGGCGGCUUACUGGUCCAUUACUGACGCUGAGGUGCGAAAGCGUGGGGAGCAAACAGGAUUAGAAACCCUGGUAGUCC
rnacentral:rRNA from 1 species